ACCAGACUCCUACGGGAGGCAGCAGUGGGGGAUAUUGCACAAUGGGGGGAACCCCGAUGCAGCGACGCCGCGUGGGUGAAGAAGCGCCUCGGCGCGUAAAGCCCUGUCAGCAGGGAAGAAAAUGACGGUACCUGAAGAAGAAGCCCCGGCUAACUACGUGCCAGCAGCCGCGGUAAUACGUAGGGGGCAAGCGUUAUCCGGAUUUACUGGGUGUAAAGGGGGCGCAGACGGCGAUGCAAGCCAGGAGUGAAAGCCCGGGGCCCAACCCCGGGACUGCUCUUGGAACUGCGUGGCUGGAGUGCAGGAGGGGCAGGCGGAAUUCCUGGUGUAGCGGUGAAAUGCGUAGAUAUCAGGAGGAACACCGGUGGCGAAGGCGGCCUGCUGGACUGCAACUGACGUUGAGGCCCGAAAGCGUGGGGAGCAAACAGGAUUAGAUACCCCAGUA
rnacentral:rRNA from 1 species